rnacentral:misc_RNA from 1 species
AGGUGAACGUCAGAAUGCUAGAAGGUAUGAUUCUCAUUUUUGCCUUGCUUAAUUAUUUGCCCAGAUGUUGAAGUUUUAUAUUAAAAUCUCUACUCUCUAUCCUUUUGAAAUGUUAAUUUAUGUCAGAAUGAUAUAUUCCAUUUGGUGUUAUAUUAAUAUGGAAGAAGAUAUCAUGUAUAUGUUGUUACGAAGAAAGAUAAGCUGUCAAAGUUUGUGUUAUCUAUGCUCUAGCAAAUUUUGGUUCUCUCUUAUUUUUAUUGUCUGAACUUGGUACGACCAACUCAUCUGAUACUGAUAAAUUUUCAUAUUUCUUUCCAGAGUAUGCAGUUUCAAGAUUUCACCAUCUAAAAGAUGGAGAACAUCUUGUCUCUUCGUCCCAAGUAUUAAUAAGGCACUUAGGCAUACAUUAACAAUUUGGCGAUCUAGUUUUAUGUGUGAAUGUGAUGCCUCAAGAGUUCCAAUCAGUGGUCUGCGUCAUAUGUGAUGAAUUUUAGAUUGAUUAAGAAAAAUGUUCUUCCAAUUUAGAUAUUUCCAAAUCUUCUUAAUUUUGAUUAUUCAUUCUCUUUAUUGUGUAUUUCAUUUUAUAUCUGCAGUGGUAGCUAACCUUUUUUUAAGGGGGAAAAAGAACCCACAAAAAGGAUACAUUGUUAUAGUUACAUUUUUUUUUUGAAACUAUAUUUAUAAUUACUAUAUAAGUUUUGCUACAAUAUUUAUUAGUGUAUUCUAAUACUAGUUUAUGGUAAACAUACUGUCUGGGAUUUGAAUAAUAGAUCUA